rnacentral:rRNA from 1 species
UACGUAGGUGGCAAGCGUUGUCCGGAUUUACUGGGCGUAAAGGGCGUGCAGGCGGUCUGUUAAGUGCAGGGUGAAAGCUCCCGGCUCAACUGGGAGAGGUCCUUGCAUACUGGCGGACUUGAGGGGGAUAGAGGAAAGUGGAAUUCCCGGUGUAGUGGUGAUAUGCGUAGAUAUCGGGAGGAACACCUGUGGCGAAGGCGGCUUUCUGGGCCCUACCUGACGCUGAGACGCGAAAGCGUGGGGAGCGAACCGG